rnacentral:rRNA from 1 species
UAGAGACCGGCGCACGGGUGCGUAACGCGUAUGCAAUCUACCUUUUACAGAGGGAUAGCCCAGAGAAAUUUGGAUUAAUACCUCAUAGUAUGUGAGAAUCGCAUGGUUUUCACAUUAAAGUCACAACGGUAAAAGAUGAGCAUGCGUCCCAUUAGCUUGUUGGUAAGGUAACGGCUUACCAAGGCAACGAUGGGUAGGGGUCCUGAGAGGGAGAUCCCCCACACUGGUACUGAGACACGGACCAGACUCCUACGGGAGGCAGCAGUGAGGAAUAUUGGACAAUGGGCGCAAGCCUGAUCCAGCCAUGCCGCGUGCAGGAUGACGGUCCUAUGGAUUGUAAACUGCUUUUGUACAGGAAGAAACACUCCCUCGUGAGGGAGCUUGACGGUACUGUAAGAAUAAGGAUCGGCUAACUCCGUGCCAGCAGCCGCGGUAAUACGGAGGAUCCAAGCGUUAUCCGGAAUCAUUGGGUUUAAAGGGUCCGUAGGCGGUUUAAUAAGUCAGUGGUGAAAGCCCAUCGCUCAACGGUGGAACGGCCAUUGAUACUGUUAAACUUGAAUUAUUAGGAAGUAACUAGAAUAUGUAGUGUAGCGGUGAAAUGCUUAGAGAUUACAUGGAAUACCAAUUGCGAAGGCAGGUUACUACUAAUGGAUUGACGCUGAUGGACGAAAGCGUGGGUAGCGAACAGGAUUAGAUACCCUGGUAGUCCACGCCGUAAACGAUGGAUACUAGCUGUUGGGAGCAAUCUCAGUGGCUAAGCGAAAGUGAUAAGUAUCCCACCUGGGGAGUACGU